CGUCGUACACACUUCUCUGGGAAAUCCCGUCAACGUCUACUACCGCGACUAUGCCACACUUCGCCGAUCGCGCUCUUAUUAUUUCCCAUCCCGCUUUCCCACUGCAUAAUUCUCUCUAUCUUUCCAAUUUCGUUCAGUCUGAUCUGUCUUUCAACGUUUGCGGAUAUGAUCGCGCGUUGCACUUUGCUGAUCUCACAGCAAUUAAGAAGAGUCAGUUUUUUUUUUAUCGAUCACUGUACGUCAUCUUUGUCCUCUUGGAAUAAUAUACGUUUUCUUAAAGAAGCGAGAAGUGGAACGUAAGAAGUAAGAAAAUUCGAAUGAAGAUCUUCGCUAAUCGCCAAGUCGCAUCGAUCGCAAUCCAGCGGAGGAUCAUGGUGGAGCUUCGCGUCUUCGUUCACGGAGGACCCUCGAAAUCUCCUUUUAUCCCUCCCCUUCACGAUUCGCCGCGCUAUUAACGUCGUUAUUGCCAUUUGUCGAGGAACCGGGAAGUACGCGUGCGCCAGCAGCUGCAAUACCGAACUAGCUUUUUCCGCUGGGCGAUUCUCCGACAGAAGUAUUACGGUAGAAAUAACGUUAUCCUCAGCCCGGAACGAGCAUCGAAGAUGAAUGGGGGGUUGGAGCUCGCUUACCCUGCAUCGCCGGCGCUUUUCCUCUGUCCCUCCCCUCCCUCUCUCCUCCUUUGCCAGCACCCUCGGGAUAUUAUUUCGUCGAAUAUCUCGCGAGUCAUUUCGAACGCGGCAUUUCGCUGGAGAUAAGUCUUGGCUUUAACCGGGUUCGAAUCCCCGUAAAAAAAAAAACCUCGAAACCGUAAAAUCUCGCGUACGAAGCAACGCCGUUCUAUUUUUCUAUCUCACGAUUAAAUCGUCAAUUGUAAUUGAAUUGAGUUUCGGGAAAGAAAUAAUAAAAUGUACAAUGUAUUAAAUUGUUGUUGUACACGUGACAAUGUAGUAUUUCGUAAUUUGUGAUAUUUCGAGUGAAAGGUUUUUCUUUUUAAUAAAACCAUCUAAAA